GGUUAAGCGACUAAGCGUACACGGUGGAUGCCCUGGCAGUCAGAGGCGAUGAAGGACGUGCUAAUCUGCGAUAAGCGCCGGUAAGGUGAUAUGAACCGUUAUAACCGGCGAUUUCCGAAUGGGGAAACCCAGUGUGACUCGUCACACUAUCAUUAACUGAAUCCAUAGGUUAAUGAGGCGAACCGGGGGAACUGAAACAUCUAAGUACCCCGAGGAAAAGAAAUCAACCGAGAUUCCCCCAGUAGCGGCGAGCGAACGGGGAGGAGCCCAGAGCCUGAAUCAGCAUGUGUGUUAGUGGAAGCGUCUGGAAAGGCGCGCGAUACAGGGUGACAGCCCCGUACACAAAAGCGCAUGUGCUGUGAGCUCGAUGAGUAGGGCGGGACACGUGGUAUCCUGUCUGAAUAUGGGGGGACCAUCCUCCAAGGCUAAAUACUCCUGACUGACCGAUAGUGAACCAGUACCGUGAGGGAAAGGCGAAAAGAACCCCGGCGAGGGGAGUGAAAAAGAACCUGAAACCGUGUACGUACAAGCAGUGGGAGCACAGGUUUACCUGUGUGACUGCGUACCUUUUGUAUAAUGGGUCAGCGACUUAUAUUCUGUAGCAAGGUUAACCGUAUAGGGGAGCCGGAGGAAACCGAGUCUUAAUUGGGCGUUAAGUUGCAGGGUAUAGACCCGAAACCCGGUGAUCUAGCCAUGGGCAGGUUGAAGGUUGGGUAACACUAACUGGAGGAUAGAACCGACUAAUGUUGAAAAAUUAGCGGAUGACCUGUGGCUGGGGGUGAAAGGCCAAUCAAACCGGGAGAUAGCUGGUUCUCCCCGAAAGCUAUUUAGGUAGCGCCUCGUGAAUUCAUCUCCGGGGUAGAGCACUGUUUCGGCUAGGGGGCCAUCCCGGCUUACCAACCCGAUGCAAACUGCGAAUACCGGAGAAUGUUAUCACGGGAGACACACGGCGGGUGCUAACGUCCGUCGUGAAGAGGGAAACAACCCAGACCGCCAGCUAAGAUCCCAAAGUCAUGGUUAAGUGGGAAACGAUGUGGGAAGGCCCAGACAGCCAGGAUGUUGGCUUAGAAGCAGCCAUCAUUUAAAGAAAGCGUAAUAGCUCACUGGUCGAGUCGGCCUGCGCGGAAGAUGUAACGGGGCUAAACCAUGCACCGAAGCUGCGGCAGCGACACUCAGGUGUUGUUGGGUAGGGGAGCGUUCUGUAAGCCUGCGAAGGUGGCCUGUGAGGGUUGCUGGAGGUAUCAGAAGUGCGAAUGCUGACAUAAGUAACGAUAAAGCGGGUGAAAAGCCCGCUCGCCGGAAGACCAAGGGUUCCUGUCCAACGUUAAUCGGGGCAGGGUGAGUCGACCCUAAGGCGAGGCCGAAAGGCGUAGUCGAUGGGAAACGGGUUAAUAUUCCCGUACUUGGUGUUACUGCGAAGGGGGGACGGAGAAGGCUAUGUUGGCCGGGCGACGGUUGUCCCGGUUUAAGCGUGUAGGUGUGUGUUCCGGUAAAUCCGGUUCACUUUAACACUGAGGCGUGAUGACGAGGCACUACGGUGCUGAAGCAACAAAUGCCCUGCUUCCAGGAAAAGCCUCUAAGCAUCAGGUAACAUCAAAUCGUACCCCAAACCGACACAGGUGGUCAGGUAGAGAAUACCAAGGCGCUUGAGAGAACUCGGGUGAAGGAACUAGGCAAAAUGGUGCCGUAACUUCGGGAGAAGGCACGCUGACAUGUAGGUGAAGUGAUUUACUCAUGGAGCUGAAGUCAGUCGAAGAUACCAGCUGGCUGCAACUGUUUAUUAAAAACACAGCACUGUGCAAACACGAAAGUGGACGUAUACGGUGUGACGCCUGCCCGGUGCCGGAAGGUUAAUUGAUGGGGUCAGCGCAAGCGAAGCUCCUGAUCGAAGCCCCGGUAAACGGCGGCCGUAACUAUAACGGUCCUAAGGUAGCGAAAUUCCUUGUCGGGUAAGUUCCGACCUGCACGAAUGGCGUAAUGAUGGCCAGGCUGUCUCCACCCGAGACUCAGUGAAAUUGAACUCGCUGUGAAGAUGCAGUGUACCCGCGGCAAGACGGAAAGACCCCGUGAACCUUUACUAUAGCUUGACACUGAACAUUGAGCCUUGAUGUGUAGGAUAGGUGGGAGGCUUUGAAGCGUGGACGCCAGUCUGCGUGGAGCCGACCUUGAAAUACCACCCUUUAAUGUUUGAUGUUCUAACGUGGAUCCGUAAUCCGGGUUGCGGACAGUGUCUGGUGGGUAGUUUGACUGGGGCGGUCUCCUCCUAAAGAGUAACGGAGGAGCACGAAGGUUGGCUAAUCCUGGUCGGACAUCAGGAGGUUAGUGCAAUGGCAUAAGCCAGCUUGACUGCGAGCGUGACGGCGCGAGCAGGUGCGAAAGCAGGUCAUAGUGAUCCGGUGGUUCUGAAUGGAAGGGCCAUCGCUCAACGGAUAAAAGGUACUCCGGGGAUAACAGGCUGAUACCGCCCAAGAGUUCAUAUCGACGGCGGUGUUUGGCACCUCGAUGUCGGCUCAUCACAUCCUGGGGCUGAAGUAGGUCCCAAGGGUAUGGCUGUUCGCCAUUUAAAGUGGUACGCGAGCUGGGUUUAGAACGUCGUGAGACAGUUCGGUCCCUAUCUGCCGUGGGCGCUGGAGAACUGAGGGGGGCUGCUCCUAGUACGAGAGGACCGGAGUGGACGCAUCACUGGUGUUCGGGUUGUCAUGCCAAUGGCACUGCCCGGUAGCUAAAUGCGGAAGAGAUAAGUGCUGAAAGCAUCUAAGCACGAAACUUGCCCCGAGAUGAGUUCUCCCUGAGACUUAGAGUCUCCUGAAGGAACGUUGAAGACGACGACGUUGAUAGGCCGGGUGUGUAAGCGCAGCGAUGCGUUGAGCUAACCGGUACUAAUGAACCGUGAGGCUUAACCUU
rnacentral:rRNA from 1 species